UACGGGAGGCAGCAGUGGGGAAUAUUGCACAAUGGGCGGAAGCCUGAUGCAGCGACGCCGCGUGAGGGAUGACGGCCUUCGGGUUGUAAACCUCUUUCAGUAGGGAAGAAGCGAAAGUGACGGUACCUGCAGAAGAAGCGCCGGCUAACUACGUGCCAGCAGCCGCGGUAAUACGUAGGGCGCAAGCGUUAUCCGGAUUUAUUGGGCGUAAAGAGCUCGUAGGCGGUUUGUCGCGUCUGCCGUGAAAGUCCGAGGCUCAACCUCGGAUCUGCGGUGGGUACGGGCAGACUAGAGUGAUGUAGGGGAGACUGGAAUUCCUGGUGUAGCGGUGAAAUGCGCAGAUAUCAGGAGGAACACCGAUGGCGAAGGGCAGGGUCUCUGGGCAUUUUACUGACGCUGAGGAGCGAAAGCAUGGGGA
rnacentral:rRNA from 1 species